GUCAGGAUGGCCCAAUGGUCUAAGGCGCCAGACUCAAGUUCUGUUCUUCGUAAGAGGGCAUGAGUUUAAAUUUCACUUCUGAUA
rnacentral:tRNA from 1 species